rnacentral:lncRNA from 11 species
AGGUGCUGUAUACUACCACCAACACCUGGGAAAGCUCCUUUGAAAGCCAGAGUAAAACCUGGAGCUGAUUUACCUUGUCACUAACUUGGGAAUGACUGUAUGCCUGCUCCUAGGAAGAAAAUGAGUGUGGAAGUAGAUUACUGCCCCCACUGCCUGUGUACAAUGGUCAAAAUUUAGAUUUUCAACACACAUUUCUGUUCUUUUUUAAGCAUGGAGAUCUUGCAUGAGGAACAGAGCUUUCUAUGACAAUAAAGAAGUGGGUGGUUCCCUCUAUGAAAAAUAUUGUUGUUCUGCACCAUCUGGAAUUCUGUCCUUGAUCCUCAU